rnacentral:rRNA from 1 species
UACGAAGGGGGCUAGCGUUGUUCGGAAUCACUGGGCGUAAAGGGCGCGUAGGCGGAUCUUUAAGUCGGGGGUGAAAGCCCAGGGCUCAACCCUGGAAUGGCCUUCGAUACUGGAGAUCUUGAGACCGGAAGAGGUAAGUGGAACUGCGAGUGUAGAGGUGAAAUUCGUAGAUAUUCGCAAGAACACCAGUGGCGAAGGCG